AACGAACGCUGGCGGCAGGUCUUAGGCAUGCAAGUCGAACGGAUGACAGAGAGCUUGCUCUCUGAAGUCAGUGGCGCACGAGUGAGUAACGCGUGGGAAACUGCCCUUCACUGGGGAAUAACGUUUGGAAACGAACGCUAAUACCGCAUACGCCCGCAAGGGGAAAGAUUUAUCGGUGAUGGAUGUGCCCGCGUUGGAUUAGCUAGUUGGUGGGGUAAUGGCCUACCAAGGCGAUGAUCCAUAGCUGGUCUGAGAGGAUGAACGGCCACAUUGGGACUGAGAUACGGCCCAGACUCCUACGGGAGGCAGCAGUGGGGAAUAUUGGGCAAUGGGGGAAACCCUGACCCAGCAACGCCGCGUGAAGGAAGAAGGCC
rnacentral:rRNA from 1 species